rnacentral:misc_RNA from 1 species
UCCGAGUUGACCCCGGCAGUCUCCUAUGAGUUCCCACCAUCACGUGCUGGCAACAUAGAACGAGGGUUGCGCUCGUUGCGGGACUUAACCCAACAUCUCACGACACGAGCUGACGACAACCAUGCACCACCUGUACACCGACCUCAAAGAGGAAAGACUGUUUCCAGCCCGGUCCGGUGUAUGUCAAGCCUUGGUAAGGUUCUUCGCGUUGCAUCGAAUUAAUCCGCAUGCUCCGCCGCUUGUGCGGGCCCCCGUCAAUUCCUUUGAGUUUUAGCCUUGCGACCGUACUCCCCAGGCGGGGCACUUACUGCGUUAGCGACGGCACCGGGAGGGUCGCUCCCCCCGACGCCUAGUGCCCAUCGUUUACGGCGUGGACUAC